CUUUCAUAAACUUGUGAUAGCUAUGAUGAAGAGGUAGUAAAUUAAAAGUGCAUUCCUAUAAAUACUCUGUUUAAUUUUAUAAUGAUAUUACUCCCAUCUUACAAUCCAUAAUACAAAUCCCAUGCAUGGCUCUACGUUAGCUGUUUCACCAUAAUGGGAUGACUGAAUAACCGUGAAUUUCAUACGCGCAAACUAGCACAUGUGCAAAGCAGUUACAAAAACUGGCACAAUGCCAAAUGGCAUAAGUGCAAAUGGGCAUAACUGCACAAAAAAAAUUCCAAACAUUGGCAUAAGUGCAAACUGCUAUAAGUGCAAACUGGCAUAUUUGUAAAUUGGCAUAAGUGCGCUAAAUAGAUUUACAAACAUUCGCAUAACUGUGAAUUGCCAUAAGUGGAAACUGGUAUAAGUGUGAAGCAGUUGCAAAAACUCGCAAAAGUGCAAACAACAUGAAUGCGAACUGGCAUAAGUGUGCUAAAUAAAUUUGCAAAAUUUAGCAUAAUUCCAAACUGGCAUAACUGCAAACUAGCAUAAGGGCAAAAUGCCAAUCAGCACUUAGGCCAAUGUUUGCAAAUUUAUUACAUGCACUUAUGUCAGUUUGCACUUCUGCCAGUUUUUGUAACUGUUUUGUACUUAAUCAAACUUUGCAUUUAUGCCUAUUCGUAAUGUUUGCUAACCUGUUUGGUGCACUAAUGCCAAUUUACACUUUUUCCAGUUUGCAAGUUUAAAGCUAUAGGUUAUCCUAUAGCUUUAAACUUUAGUCCAGAUAAUUCUUUUAACCCAGAUAAUAUUCAUAUAUAUGACUACACUAAUGGUUAGUGUACACUUAUGAUCUGGACUACAUUAAUGUUUUAUGACAAAUUCACUCAUGGCCAAAUCUAAUAUGGCAGCUGGAAAAGGCAAAGGAUCUUUUUAGUCUAACUAAGCUAUACAACUUAAUAAAAGUUUAUGCAUCGACUUCU